rnacentral:rRNA from 1 species
GAUGAACGCUAGCGGCAGGCUUAAUACAUGCAAGUCAAGGGGGUAGCAAUACUACCGGCGCACGGGUGAGUAACACGUACAUAACAUACCAUAUACUGGGGUAUAGCUUUGGGAAACUGAAGGUAAUCCCCCAUAACAUUGCGAGAGGGCAUCUGAUUGCAAUUAAAGUUUCGACGGUGUAUGAUUGAUGUGCGUUUGAUUGGCUUGUUGGUAGGGUAACGGCCUACCAAGGCGACGAUCAAUAGCUGGCGUGAGAGCGCGACCAGCCACACUGGAACUGAGACACGGUCCAGACUCCUACGGGAGGCAGCAGUAGGGAAAUAUUGGACAAUGGGCGAAAGCCUGAUCCAGCCAUGCCGCGUGAUAGAUGAAGGCCCUCUGGGUUGUAAAUAUCUUUUAUCUGGGAAGAAACAAUCUUAUUCUUAAGAUCUUGACGGUACCAGAGGAAUAAGCACCGGCUAACUCCGUGCCAGCAGCCGCGGU